rnacentral:SRP_RNA from 1 species
GCUGGGCGUGGUAGCGCAUGCCUGUAAUCCCAGCUACUCAGGAGGCUGAGGUGGGAGACUCACUUGAACCUGGGAGUUAGGGGUUGCAGUGAGCUGAGAUAGCGCCACUGCAUUCCAGCCUGGGUGACAGAGCGAGACUCUGUCUCAA